rnacentral:sRNA from 1 species
CUCGAUCACACAAGAUGGAAAAAUUGCAAGAAAUAUUACACACAAGCUUAACAAUUCACCUACAACUACAACACUACAACAGAUACUCAAUAAAUUUCAGUAAAUAUAAGAUUACCUGAAGUUGCUCUUUUUUUAUUUAUUGAAUACCAUGAGGUUUUAAGCCGAAACCCGUAAUUCUCCAAAGCCCGAAAUCACAUCAUGUAAUAUUAGUUUCAUCUCAAACGUCACUCGAACCGGCGACCUCUAAGCAUGUAAAUUGCUUAACGAUCUUUGGAGCCAAGAAUGGCAAAAUCACAAUCCCACAAUGGAAACAAUAUAAAAGUUAACUAAGCUAAUCCAACAAUGCAAAGAGGAACUCUAUAGAGAUUAUAUUAU